UUUGGAGGUAGCAAUAUUUUCAAGUCGGAGUGGCGCAAGGGUGCGUAACACGUGGGCAAUCUGCCGUGAAGCCUGGAAUAACUCGCUGAAAGGCGAGCUAAUACCGGAUGUGAACGCAAGUUCAAAGCUGGGGACCGCAAGGCCUGGCACUUUACGAUGAGCCCGCGGCCUAUCAGCUAGUUGGUGAGGUAACGGCCCACCAAGGCUAAGACGGGUAGCUGGUCUGAGAGGACGACCAGCCACACUGGAACUGAGACACGGUCCAGACACCUACGGGUGGCAGCAGUCGAGAAUUUUUCUCAAUGGGCGAAAGCCUGAAGGAGCGACGCCGCGUGGGGGAGGAAUGGCUUCGGCCCGUAAACCCCUGUCAUUUGCGAACAAAUUGGUUCACCCAACACGUGAACCAUUGAUAGUAGCGGAAGAGGAAGGGACGGCUAACUCUGUGCCAGCAGCCGCGGUAAUACAGAGGUCCCAAGCGUUGUUCGGAUUCACUGGGCGUAAAGGGUGCGUAGGUGGUCGGGUAAGUCUGUUGUGAAAUCUCCGAGCUUAACUCGGAAAUGGCAGUGGAUACUAUCCGGCUAGAGGAAUGGAGGGGAGACUGGAAUACUUGGUGUAGCAGUGAAAUGCGUAGAUAUCAAGUGGAACACCAG
rnacentral:rRNA from 1 species